rnacentral:rRNA from 1 species
CCUACGGGAGGCUGCAGUCGAGAAUCAUUCACAAUGGGGGAAACCCUGAUGGUGCGACGCCGCGUGGGGGAAUGAAGGUCUUCGGAUUGUAAACCCCUGUCAUGUGGGAGCAAAUUAAAAAGAUAGUACCACAAGAGGAAGAGACGGCUAACUCUGUGCCAGCAGCCGCGGUAAUACAGAGGUCGCAAGCGUUGUUCGGAAUCACUGGGCGUAAGGGGUGGGUAGGCUGUUUCGUAAGUCGUGUGUGAAAGGCGCGGGUUCAACCCGCUGACGGCACAUGAUAAUGCGAGACUAGAGUAAUGGAGGGGGAACCGGAAUUCUCGGUGGAGCAGUGAAAUGCGUAGAUAUCGAGAGGAACACUCGUGGCGAAGGCGGGUUCCUGGACAUUAACUGACGCUGAGGCACGAAGGCCAGGGGAGCGAAAGGGAUUAGAUACCCCUGUAGUG